ensembl:lncRNA
CAAAUUUUGAAGAUUCUUUGUUUCCACUCACUUUGGAAACGACAUGUCGUACGUAACAUCUGUACUGGUGUAAACAUUUUACUAACUGAACAAUAUAUACAAACGUUUAGUUCUGGAAUAGACUAGCUAGGAUAUGGUAAGAGUUUGAACAAGUUUUAAAAUUAGAAGAUCAUUUAUUAGGGCAGGCACCAGUGCAGGCCUAAGCAGCCCAAAAGAAUGACCCCAAUCCCUCACCUUGAAAGCCUAAAGAAUGGCACCGAAGGAUGCCACAAGUCUUGAUUCAAACUUCUACAUUUCACAAUAAAGUAGACAGACUUAUGGAUAAAAGACCGUAACUACUCAUUUGGGACACCUGAAUGGCUCAGCCAGUUAAGCGUCUGACUCUCGGUUUCAUCUCAGGUCAUGAUCUCACAGUCCGUGGGUUCCAGCCCCUGCGUCAGGUUCGUCACUGACAGCUCGGAGCCUGCUUGAGAUUCUCUCUCUCCCUUCUCUCUCUGCCCCUCCCCCCUUGCACACUCUCUCUCAAAACAAAUAAACUUAAUAGUUUUUUAAAGUUUAUAUAUUCAAAUUGGCAAAAGUGUGGAGUUUCUCUCAUAGUUGGGGUCAUUUUUUAUUUAGUCACAUAAUAUCCACUGAACCUCUACUCUAUGGCAAGCCCUAUUGUAAGUGCUGUGAAUAUAUUAGUUAACUGCUUUUAUGAACUUGAUUUGCAGGUAGUCAUAAGGGGAAAAAAUCAAGGUGAUGUGAAGGAGAUUGGCAAAGGGUUCACAGGAGACCAACAGAAUAAAAGGAAAUCCUGCCAAGAUCAAGGAAACAAUGUGGAGAAGGAGAAAAAGCAGAGAAUUUAAAGGUAAAAUGAGUUUAGGGGCACACAGUAGAUUAGUCAGACGAGCAUCCAACUCUUGAUUUCAGCUCGGGUCAUAAUCCCAGAUUGUGGGAUCAAGCCCCAUGUUGGCCUCCAUGCUGAGCAUGGAGCCGGUUUAGGAUUUUUUUUUUGUCUCUUUCCCUCUCCCUCUGCCCCUCUCCCAGCUUUCACUCCCUUAAGAAAAAAAAGCAAAAAGAGCUUAAAAUUUGAUUCCCACCCCUUUGCCUUAUUCAGUGAAUAUGGACAGCAUAUUACUUACCUUCUCUCAAGCCUCCUUAUUUUCACUGUAAGAUGAAGACGGUGUCACUUAUUUUGCAGUAUUGUAAUCAGAAAUGAAUUAGUCAGGCAACACACAUAGUUGUUAGCAAACAAGCAAGAAAUAAACCCAUUGCUUCUAUUCCUAUUCCCUCAGAAAACCUAGAAAAGCAGUGUAGUGAAGUAGUUUAACAAGGGUGUUUGGGAGCAAGAAUGAUUCAGUUCAGACUACGUAUAUACAGUGCUGUGAUUUGGGUUAAGAUAUUUCACUUUUCUGUGCCUGCUCCUAUAAAAUCCUGGGGAAAUGUUUAGCAUAUGAAAUGUUAUGAAACCCCUAUGAAGCAGUCAGCUUAGGGCCUGGAGCCUGUGUGCAGUGCGUGGAGCCCCGCCCUGACUGUGCACUGGUUUGGGUCCCAAGUGCUGGUGUUUGUGAGUGUGUGAGUCGGGUCCUUCUCCUCACUUGCUGUAUGGAUUCAUGAGAAGCCAGGUCCACUGUGUGUUCAUCACAUAAGGACAUUAGACUUAGAAAUUGACAUGAUGCUUCCUCAUUCUGGGUUUCUCAAACUGAACCCCAACUCUGAGCUCCAUUUCAUUAGUUUACAUUAUCUGAUAGACAUUCUUUAAAAUCAGCAAACAUUCUCUAAAAUCUCUUUCAAAAAAAUGUAAAGUUUCUGGUUGAGAGAAAACUGUGUUAAACCCAUAAACCCUCCCACUAGCACAGCCUCCAGAAGUUCUUUUUAUGGCCGUUGAGUAAUUGUUUUGGGUCUCAGUACUUUCAGUUUCAGGUUCCUAUAAAGUCUGUGACUGGUUGCUUUGCUUCUAGUUUGUCUUUUAUGGAAAUCUGGAAAGUCCAAUAGCAUUACACAGGUAAAAUAAAAGAUUCAUGAUCCAGCAAGAGAGGGAGAAAUAACAGAAACUGCUCUGCCUAACUGAAAAGGACAAAAAAAAAAAAAGGUAAGAUCUCCACUUUAUCAUCAAACAGCUUUCUCUUCAGGUUUAAAAGAGCUCUGCUCUGGGAAAUGGAGCUCAUGACAAGGUUGGGGCAGGGAUGGGAAGGGAUUUAUAAAGGUCCAUUUUCUUAAAAAGUGACCAGGAUAAGGGUGCCUGGGUGGCUUAGUUGGUUGAGCAUCUGACUUCAGCUCAGAUCAUGACCUCACAGUUCAUGAGUUUGAGUCCCAUAUUGGGCUCUCUGCUGUCAGGAUAGAACCUGCUUCAGAUUCUCUGUCCCCCCCUCUCUCUUUGCCUUCCCCUGUGCAUGCUUUCUCUCAAAAAUAAAUACACAUUUUAAAAAAGUGAUCAGCAUCAAGAGAGGCUGCAGGUGAACCUGCUGUGAGACACUAGGUCAGAUAAUGAAGUACCAGUGUCAUUAUAUGGUAGCAUGUUCCUAUCUGUUACUACUGUGCUUGUGCGAAGUUAGACACCGGCAGACAUGGGGCUAAAUGAAGUUUGAAAUAAUUCAUUAGGAUUGUUUUUCUUUUUGCUGACUUUGUCUGUGUUGAUUGGGGACACAGUUAAACUCCCAUUAUCUUUGAUAGAACUUGCUCAGUGCAGAUCUGACUGCAGCUAAGAAACUGAAAGGCUGCAAAUACGUUAUAUUCAUGAAAAGGAAAGACUAGAAAGGAGGUGUGGUGAACAGCCACCUGACACUAAUUUUUUCAAUAUUUAUUUGUUUUGGG